CAAAAAACGAUGAGUCCCCAAUGGAUAAGCAUAACCUGUCGCGUGCAGUUGAAACAAAAAAGGUUUAUCCCUUGGACGACGGCAGAAAGCAAAGGCAAGGCGAAAGCCAUGGCGACGGCGGAGGCGGGGCGCGACGACAGGUUUUCCCUGCCGGAUCUUGGCGGCGGCGAGUCCGUACUGGACGCCCAAACCACCCGAACUCCGGUGUGCACAGCCGUCCAGCCCAGAAUUCGCGAUGUAGCGGACGCGGCCCUGAUAAUGCAGUUAGAUUUGAACAGCAGUUGCGAAGGGCUGAGUUUGUCAGCCCCAAACUCAGUGCUCUCAACUGGAAAAGACGAUCCUCAGGCCCUUGGCUGGACGAAAAGCUGAUGUAUGCUAAAAUUCGACUAGUUAAGUAAGAAAAAAGUUUUUUGACUGUAUGCAAUUGAUUCUCUUGCGAAAUUACACAUGGUACGUGUUGGGCGUGAGCCUCUUGAGCCUGCAGCCUGUGCUGGAAGGGUGAGUGCCCUCGAAAAAACAUUGAGAUGUUGCACAGAAAAAGACUGAAACUGUCGUAUUCCUACCGUCAGAGACAACAUUGAUUCGCUUGGAGAGGCGUAUGACUAUUACAAUCUCUACUAGUGGGAAAUUGGGUUUGGAAUUAGAUACCGAAAAAGCAGACUGAAUGUUGAGAGGAGCAAAUCUAUGCAGGAGAUAGUUUGUGGCUGCUCGGGUGUCCCAAAAAAAAGUAACACACGGUCCUGCUGUUGUAGGAACCCGGCCAUGAUAUGGUUGCUCCGAACAAAAUACAAUGGAUGGUACAUAAGUGAGCACAGGACAUUCCAUAAUCACUCCCUUGCAGAUAAGUUUGGCGAGAAGGUAUACUGGCCUUCGCACAGACAUAUCGACAUAUAUACACGUGACCUUAUCAAGCAACUUCGUGAAAAUAAUAUUAGCAUCGGCAAGGUGUACAAUAUAAUUGGGAAGUUCUUUGGUUCAAUGAGCAAUGUGCCUUUCAGCAAAAGAGCAUUGAGAGGGCUUUGUGGAGAGAUCAGCCGGGAUCAGGCAGACGAUGAUGUCCAAAAACGAUGGAAGUUUUUGCUGAGUUGGGAUCCAAAGAUUCUUGGUUGUACUACAGAGUGCAGACAGAUGAAGAGAGCUGCAUACGGAAUCUGUUAUGAUCAAUAGGGGCAAGCAGAGCUCAAUACUAUUACUUUGGAGAUGCCAUAACUUUCGAUACAACAUACCAUACAAACCUGUACGACAUGCCAUUUGGACUAUUUGUAGGUGUCAACAAUCACUUCCAAAUUGUAAUAUUUGGUGGUGUGUUAGUAAGGGACGAGAGAGCGGAAGCAUUUACUUGGGUGUUUACAGAAUUUGUCCGCAUGAUGGGUGGCAAACAUCUUCAGACCUUGCUCACAGAUCAAUGUCGGGCAUGGAAGUAGUAAUAGAGAAGUUCAUGCCAAACACAACGCACCGCUGGUGCAAGUGGCACGUCUUGAAGAAGGCAAAGGAAUCUCUUGGACCAUAUUACAUAAAGAGGAGCAAGUUUAACAUACAGUUUCACAAGAUAAUACACCACAUGCUGACAGUUGAUGAGUUUGAGACUGCAUGGAAGCAACUCAUAGAAACAGAUGGUUUGAGAAAACACACUUACCUGACCCAAAUAUAUGAAAAAAGAGAGAAAUGGGCAAAACCAUAUUUGAAUGGGAAGUUCUAUGCCAAAAUGACAAGUACAUAGCACAUGAGAGUGCCAACCAUGUGCUUAAGGGUUAUGUCCAAGCAAGUUGCCCCAUGCAUCUAUUUUGUUCGGCAGUACAUGAGGCUCCUUUUUUAUCAAGAGGCAAAUGAGAACUAUGAAGAAAGACGUACAAAGAUAGUAAGUUUACUUUAGUUUCUCUUACUUGAUUUAAGAAGAAAAAAAGCAACACCCUUCUGUCAUCAGUGCAUGCACUGUGUCAUGUAACUUAGUCCUUUCAUCCAGAUUUCCCCAGUUAUGAAGAUGAACACACCACUUGAGUUGCAUGCUAGCGAUAUAUAUAUAUGUACUGGAGCUAUGUUUGGGAAAUUUGGUGAAGUCCUGUAUGAAGCAGGGCAGUACAGGAUAGAGGAGAUCAGCAAACGCAAGACAUAUUUUGCCCAAAGUUAUCACCCAGAGAAAUAUGACAAAUGGUGCAGGGUUGUGUACAAACUGGAUGCUCUUGAUGAUGGCACGCGACUCAUAUGCGAGUGUGGUAAUUUUGAGCACACAUGCUUGCUCUGCUGCCACGCAGUUAAGGUCCUUGAUUUCCUUGGUGUAGAUAAGAAAACAGCAAAGCACAUUGUGAAACGUUGGACAAAGGAUGCGAGAGAUGUGCUGCCGAGCAUUUGGCAUAUCUUCAGAAGGACAACAUUGAUGUAAACCCAGUAACAUUUAGACACUCGAACUUGUACCGCCGAGGAGACGCAAAUACAACUGCAUAUGACUGAGGAAAACAAUGGAUAAAUUGACACCUAUAGCAUCUGGAAGACAGGUUUAAGUCAGAAAACAAUAAAGAAAGAGGGUUGAUUGCAUUGCACCCAGCAUCCAACGCGUGUGCGAGUAAUGCUGAAGGUAGAGGAAUUGGUAAUUUCAUCGGGUUAAGAGCUCCAGAACGAAAGCGUAAGCUAGGCCAACAACCACUAGCAGGGACAAACCCAUAUGAUGAUCGAGGCGCAAAGAGCAGAAAAAUGCAAGCAGGCAGCAAAUGCAAUAACUGCUGAUGGAUGUGGUACGAGCAAGCAAACUCGCUUCAGUAGCAUAUGUCGGGAGCCAGGUCAGAAGAGCACCACUUGCCCACGGAGGGGUAAUCUUCCCCGGAAAAAAGGGAAGAAGCAAAAUGCUCAAACUGUGGAGUUGGUGGUCACAGGAAGAACACUUGCAAUAACCCAAAGGUGGUUCUGCAUGUUGUCGAAAAUGCAACUUCAGAACAGCAUGCAAUUUGCGUCUGAGUUGGUUAGACUUAGAAAUUUGUAUUGUGCUGUUGAGGGCUCCGUAGCCAUUACCUAGAAGACUAUCGCAACAAUAAACUGUCAUCGAUCAAUGUGAACA